UAGGGAAUCUUCCACAAUGGACGCAAGUCUGACGGAGCAACGCCGCGUGAGUGAAGAAGGGUUUCGGCUCGUAAAGCUCUGUUGGUAGUGAAGAAAGAUAGAGGUAGUAAAUGGCCCUCAUUUGACGGUAAUUACUCAGAAAGUCACGGCUAAAUACGUGCCAGCAGCCGCGGUAAUACGUAGGUUGCAAGCGUUGUCCGGAUUUAUUGGGCGUAAAGCGAGUGCAGGCGGUUCAAUAAGUUUGAUGUGAAAGCCUUCGGCUCAACCGGAGAAUUGCAUCAGAAACUGUUGAACUUGAGUGCAGAAGAGGAGAGUGGAACUCCAUGUGUAGCGGUGGAAUGCGUAGAUAUAUGGAAGAACACCAGUGGCGAAGGCGGCUCUCUGGUCUGCAACUGACGCUGAGGCUCGAAAGCAUGGGUAGCGAACAGGAUUAGAUACCCUGGUAGUCCAUGCCGUAAACGAUGAGUGCUAAGUGUUGGGAGGUUUCCGCCUCUCAGUGCUGCAGCUAACGCAUUAAGCACUCCGCCUGGGGAGUACGACCGCAAGGUUG
rnacentral:rRNA from 1 species